rnacentral:rRNA from 1 species
AACGUAGGACGCAAGCGUUAUCCGGAGUUACUGGGCGUAAAGCGCGGGCAGGCGGUCGGUCAAGUCUGAUGUGAAAUCUCCUCGCUCAACGGGGAGCAGCCAUUGGAAACUGGGCGACUGGAGUCUGACAGAGGUAGGCGGAAUUCCCGGUGUAGUGGUGAAAUGCGUAGAUAUCGGGAGGAACACCAGUGGCGAAGGCGACUACCUGGCCUGUUUCUUGACGCUGAGGCGCGAAAGCUAGGGGAGCAAACGGG